rnacentral:rRNA from 1 species
CAGCCGUAAACGAUGCGCGUUAGGUGUAUCGAUGACCACGAGUCAUCGAGGUGCCGAAGGGAAACCCGUGAAACGCGCCGCCUGGGAAGUACGGUCGCAAGGCUGAAACUUAAAGGAAUUGGCGGGGGGAGCACCACAACCAGGUGGAGCCUGCGGUUUAAUCGGACUCAACGCCGGAAAUCUCACCGGAUAAGACAGCUGAAUGAUAGCCGGGCUGAAGACUCUGCUUGACUAGCUGAGAGGUGGUGCAUGGCGUAGACGUCU